UGGGGAAUUUUGGACAAUGGGCGAAAGCCUGAUCCAGCAAUGCCGCGUGUGUGAAGAAGGCCUUCGGGUUGUAAAGCACUUUUGUCCGGAAAGAAAUCCUUGGCUCUAAUACAGUCGGGGGAUGACGGUACCGGAAGAAUAAGCACCGGCUAACUACGUGCCAGCAGCCGCGGUAAUACGUAGGGUGCAAGCGUUAAUCGGAAUUACUGGGCGUAAAGCGUGCGCAGGCGGUUUGCUAAGACCGAUGUGAAAUCCCCGGGCUCAACCUGGGAACUGCAUUGGUGACUGGCAGGCUAGAGUAUGGCAGAGGGGGGUAGAAUUCCACGUGUAGCAGUGAAAUGCGUAGAGAUGUGGAGGAAUACCGAUGGCGAAGGCAGCCCCCUGGGCCAAUACUGACGCUCAUGCACGAAAGCGUGGGGAGCAAACAGGAUUAGAUACCCUGGUAGUCCACGCCCUAAACGAUGUCAACUAGUUGUUGGGGAUUCAUUUCCUAGUAACGUAGCUAACGCGUGAAGUUGACCGCCUGGGGAGUACGGUCGCAAGAUUAAAACUUAAAUGAAUUGACGGGGUCAUAGCU
rnacentral:rRNA from 1 species